rnacentral:rRNA from 1 species
UACGGGGGGGGCAAGCGUUGUUCGGAAUUACUGGGCGUAAAGGGUUUGUAGGUGGCUUGUUAAGUCAGACGUGAAAUCCCUCAGCUUAACUGGGGAACUGCGUCUGAUACUGGCGAGCUUGAGUGCAGGAGAGGAACGCGGAAUUCCAGGUGUAGCGGUGAAAUGCGUAGAUAUCUGGAGGAACACCGGUGGCGAAGGCGGCAUCCUGGACCGACAUUGACGCUGAACGGCGAAAGCUAGGGGAGCAAACGGG